CAGGGAGACAACAAAAUGUUUAAUAUUAUUAUUUUGUCACCUUAGGUCGAUCGGUAUCUCACAUUCUUAAUUUAUUAAGGAUUUCAUUUCCUAAGUUUUUCUAGGUCACACCCAUUAUUUCCUGGGCCAUUAGCUCAGGUGGUUAGAGCGCACCCCUGAUAAGGGUGAGGUCCCUGGUUCAAGUCCAGGAUGGCCCAUAUCUCUAUGUUGGGGGUAUAGCUCAGUUGGUAGAGCGCCUGCUUUGCAAGCAGGAUGUCAGCGGUUCGAGUCCGCUUACCUCCACUGAUUACCACCUCUUCCAUAACUUAUAGAAGGGAAAUGUUUGGGUUGUGAUCAAAUCCUGAACGAAUCUAGCUUCCUAAUUAGAUAUUAAGAUGCUGGACUCAUUGAAUUGAUUUCAUUGUUUUCAGAGAACCUUGACAACUGCAUAGAUUAUUUUAAAGACAGUAAGCAUCUUUAAUGAUGCAGAUUUAUUAUUUUUGCAAUUGCAUUAAUAACAAUUCUAUUAAGCUGAUGCUUCAAUUUUUGAAGUUAUU
rnacentral:tRNA from 1 species